AAAGGAAUUGACGGGGACCCGCACAAGUGGUGGAGCAUGUGGUUUAAUUCGAAGAUACGCGAAGAACCUUACCUGGCCUUGACAUUGAUAGAAUCUUUCAGAGAUGAGAGAGUGCCCUUCGGGGAGCUUGAAAACAGGUGCUGCACGGCUGUCGUCAGCUCGUGUCGUGAGAUGUUGGGUUAAGUCCCGCAACGAGCGCAACCCUCGUCACUAGUUACUAACGGUUCGGCCGAGGACUCUAGUGAGACUGCCUUCGCAAGGAGGAGGAAGGUGAGGACGACGUCAAGUCAUCAUGGCCCUUACGGCCAGGGCGACACACGUGCUACAAUGGGUAGGACAAUGAGACGCAAUACCGCGAGGUGGAGCAAAUCUAUAAACCUACUCUCAGUUCGGAUUGUACUCUGCAACUCGAGUGCAUGAAGCUGGAAUCACUAGUAAUCGUAGAUCAGCCAUGCUACGGUGAAUACGUUCCCGGGUCUUGUACACACCGCCCGU
rnacentral:rRNA from 1 species